AUGGAAUAUUAUUCAGCCAUAAAAAGGAAUGAAGUUCUGGUGCAUGCUACCUGCUGGUGGGAUUACGGCAUGAAGCUAUUUUAUUCUUCCAACUUUUCUGUACGUGGAGGGUGGUGGUAAGAAGAGGACAUUUCUUCAAAAUGCCCACAGUGGCCUUAUAAUAAAUCCCACCCACCCAACCCUUCGAAACACAGAAAAUGCUUGAUGAACAUGGGAGAUGAGACGAAUGUUUCCUCCGGAACAGUCUAGGAAUCAUUUACUUGAAAUCUUUUACUUUGAGCUUGAGACCCAAGAAACAGAGGGGUGAGUGGCUUGCUGGCCCUUGUCACACAGUCCUUGAGGGGCAGCCCUGAGGGCAAAGAGAC
rnacentral:lncRNA from 1 species